UUGAAGAACAGGAUAAAGUGUUCUUGAUUUUAAAUCUCCUUCCAUUAACCGUACUCACAAAGCUCGUGAUGCUGUUGUAUUUAUAGUUACAACUAACACAACUCCCGCAUGUGUAGUAACCUUCUUUACGUUUUGUUUUGCUCUUUCUAGAUCUAAAAGUACUUGGUGCUAGAAUUUGCUUUAAAUUGACUCCUCUCCUAAAAAUAACUUUGGGUAAAAGAGGAAUCUGUUGAUUGAGAUAUUCAUCCUCUAUUAAUAACCCCCAAUGUUUUUUAAAGAUCCUCUGUAUAUCAAAGGCCUUAGAGCUAUAUUGCGUGUUAAAGGAAAAAUCAAAUACAG